rnacentral:piRNA from 1 species
AUCUCCCUCCCAACUCCCCAG